CCCUUAGAUGUUCUGGGCUGCACGCGCGCUACACUGAUGCACUCAACGAGUUUACGACCUUGCCCGAUAGGGUUGGGUAAUCUUUUUAAAAUGCAUCGUGAUGGGGAUAGAUUAUUGCAAUUAUUAAUCUUCAACGAGGAAUUCCUGGUGAGCGCGAGUCAUCAGCUCGUGCUGAUUACGUCCCUGCCCUUUGUACACACCGCCCGUCGCUCCUACCGAUUGAGUGCUCAGGUGAAUAAUUCGGACUGCAGCAAUGUUUGGAUCCCGAACGUUGCAGCGGAAAGUUUAGUGAACCUUAUCACUUAGAGGAAGGAGAAGUCGUAACA
rnacentral:rRNA from 1 species